rnacentral:lncRNA from 1 species
UACUGUGGAUACCGUAAUAUAAUAUACAGGGGUAAUACUGUGGAUACCAUAAUAUGAUAUAUAUACAGGGGUAAUACUGUGGUUACAUUGGAAUUCUUUGAGCUGUUCCCCAAAUCAUCAAUUUUAGGAUCUGAAAGGACAUAAGAGAUUCUGUAGUAGUUUCCUCAAGAAGCCAGCACUGGCUGUGGUAGCCCAUGCCUUUAGUAGUAGAAUUAAAGAAAGAGAAGGCAGAAUCAGGCUGAGUUUUGUGAAUUUGAGGUCAGCCUAGUAUAUAUAGCGAGUUCCAAGACAGCUGGACUACAUAGAGACCCUGUUUCAAAAUAAGUAGGUAAACCAAAAACAAAUCAAACAGUCAUCGCCUUGGAAUGUAGGCAGAGCACUUGAUUACCAUGUGUGAGGCACCCUCUCCUUCAGACAUCCUCAUCAGGAAAUAAAAUUAAUUCGAUUCUGUUUGGAACAAGCCCUGUGACAGGGAUCUGAAUUCAGAGCAGUGUGUGUCAGGGUCCACCAGGGUCAGGGUUAGCUCACCGAGCUCUAGGAGGCAGAGACUUCAAGUGUGGCUUCCCGGGCAGGUCUGUGGAGAACAAAAGAGCCACAUUACAUGGCAGCGCUCACCAAAGGACUUUUGCUUUUCUUUUUAUUUACUCCUGGGACUUGUCUAGGGGCAGCUACAGGACAUCUGCAUGAAGCCCCACGUGGGUUGGCAUUUCCCCUGAUGGCUUGAAUAGGCCAUCUUUAGGUUAAAAGAGUAAGUUUGGGAAUCUGAAAAAGUAUCUUGGAUUUCUGUUUGGUUUUCCUAGUGUAAGAGAGCUUUUGGAAUUGAAGUGCUUCUGUCUGGAGCCAUCUUUCCCCACCUCCUCAUUCCCGAGAUCCUUCACACUCUGGGCAGGGACCCAGGGUGCUGCCUCUCCUCUCCGCUCAGCUCUGACUCCCUGUUCCACCCACGAGCUCAGUUCUGCUAAUUGCAUUUCUGGUGCUGCUGGAGGAACACUGAGUUCCUCAGGGAUAAGCAACAACCAGUUUGGUGGGUAGUUUUACCAGCACCCCUAAAAUGGUGUGUUGUAGAGUCAAGAGCUUUAAAAUUAUUGGUCCCUUCCCCCCAGGCUUCUUCAGAAUCUUUAUUGACUGCUUCUUUCCUAGAGGGCUCACUAACCUUUCCCCCAUCUAAGCCC